rnacentral:rRNA from 1 species
UUAAGCGACUAAGCGUACACGGUGGAUGCCCUGGCAGUCAGAGGCGAUGAAGGACGUGCUAAUCUGCGAAAAGCGUCGGUAAGGUGAUAUGAACCGUUAUAACCGGCGAUGUCCGAAUGGGGAAACCCAGUGCAAUUCGUUGCACUAUCGUUAACUGAAUACAUAGGUUAACGAGGCGAACCGGGGGAACUGAAACAUCUAAGUACCCCGAGGAAAAGAAAUCAACCGAGAUUCCCCCAGUAGCGGCGAGCGAACGGGGAGCAGCCCAGAGUCUGAAUCAGCUUGUGUGUUAGUGGAACGGUCUGGAAAGUCCGACGGUACAGGGUGAUAGUCCCGUACACCAAAAUGCACAGGCUGUGAACUCGAAGAGUAGGGCGGGACACGUGGUAUCCUGUCUGAAUAUGGGGGGACCAUCCUCCAAGGCUAAAUACUCCUGACUGACCGAUAGUGAACCAGUACCGUGAGGGAAAGGCGAAAAGAACCCCGGCGAGGGGAGUGAAAAAGAACCUGAAACCGUGUACGUACAAGCAGUGGGAGCACCUUCGGGUGUGACUGCGUACCUUUUGUAUAAUGGGUCAGCGACUUAUAUUCUGUAGCAAGGUUAACCGUAUAGGGGAGCCGCAGGGAAACCGAGUCUUAACUGGGCGUUAAGUUGCAGGGUAUAGACCCGAAACCCGGUGAUCUAGCCAUGGGCAGGUUGAAGGUUGGGUAACACUAACUGGAGGACCGAACCGACUAAUGUUGAAAAAUUAGCGGAUGACUUGUGGCUGGGGGUGAAAGGCCAAUCAAACCGGGAGAUAGCUGGUUCUCCCCGAAAGCUAUUUAGGUAGCGCCUCGUGAAUUCAUCUUCGGGGGUAGAGCACUGUUUCGGCUAGGGGGUCAUCCCGACUUACCAACCCGAUGCAAACUACGAAUACCGAAGAAUGUUAUCACGGGAGACACACGGCGGGUGCUAACGUCCGUCGUGAAGAGGGAAACAACCCAGACCGCCAGCUAAGGUCCCAAAGUCAUGGUUAAGUGGGAAACGAUGUGGGAAGGCACAGACAGCCAGGAUGUUGGCUUAGAAGCAGCCAUCAUUUAAAGAAAGCGUAAUAGCUCACUGGUCGAGUCGGCCUGCGCGGAAGAUGUAACGGGGCUAAACCAUGCACCGAAGCUGCGGCAGCGACACUAUGUGUUGUUGGGUAGGGGAGCGUUCUGUAAGCCUGCGAAGGUGUGCUGUGAGGCAUGCUGGAGGUAUCAGAAGUGCGAAUGCUGACAUAAGUAACGAUAAAGCGGGUGAAAAGCCCGCUCGCCGGAAGACCAAGGGUUCCUGUCCAACGUUAAUCGGGGCAGGGUGAGUCGACCCCUAAGGCGAGGCCGAAAGGCGUAGUCGAUGGGAAACAGGUUAAUAUUCCUGUACUUGGUGUUACUGCGAAGGGGGGACGGAGAAGGCUAUGUUAGCCGGGCGACGGUUGUCCCGGUUUAAGCAUGUAGGCUGGUUGUCCAGGCAAAUCCGGAUAAUCAAGGCUGAGGUGUGAUGACGAGGCACUACGGUGCUGAAGUAACAAAUGCCCUGCUUCCAGGAAAAGCCUCUAAGCAUCAGGUAACAUUAAAUCGUACCCCAAACCGACACAGGUGGUCAGGUAGAGAAUACCAAGGCGCUUGAGAGAACUCGGGUGAAGGAACUAGGCAAAAUGGUGCCGUAACUUCGGGAGAAGGCACGCUGGUGUGUAGGUGAAGUCCCUGCGGAUGGAGCUGAGACCAGUCGAAGAUACCAGCUGGCUGCAACUGUUUAUUAAAAACACAGCACUGUGCAAACACGAAAGUGGACGUAUACGGUGUGACGCCUGCCCGGUGCCGGAAGGUUAAUUGAUGGGGUUAUCCGUAAGGAGAAGCUCUUGAUCGAAGCCCCGGUAAACGGCGGCCGUAACUAUAACGGUCCUAAGGUAGCGAAAUUCCUUGUCGGGUAAGUUCCGACCUGCACGAAUGGCGUAAUGAUGGCCAGGCUGUCUCCACCCGAGACUCAGUGAAAUUGAACUCGCUGUGAAGAUGCAGUGUACCCGCGGCAAGACGGAAAGACCCCGUGAACCUUUACUAUAGCUUGACACUGAACAUUGAGCCUUGAUGUGUAGGAUAGGUGGGAGGCUUUGAAGCGUGGACGCCAGUCUGCGUGGAGCCAACCUUGAAAUACCACCCUUUAAUGUUUGAUGUUCUAACGUUGGCCCCUGACCGGGGUUGCGGACAGUGUCUGGUGGGUAGUUUGACUGGGGCGGUCUCCUCCCAAAGCGUAACGGAGGAGCACGAAGGUUAGCUAAUCCUGGUCGGACAUCAGGAGGUUAGUGCAAUGGCAUAAGCUAGCUUGACUGCGAGCGUGACGGCGCGAGCAGGUGCGAAAGCAGGUCAUAGUGAUCCGGUGGUUCUGAAUGGAAGGGCCAUCGCUCAACGGAUAAAAGGUACUCCGGGGAUAACAGGCUGAUACCGCCCAAGAGUUCAUAUCGACGGCGGUGUUUGGCACCUCGAUGUCGGCUCAUCACAUCCUGGGGCUGAAGUAGGUCCCAAGGGUAUGGCUGUUCGCCAUUUAAAGUGGUACGCGAGCUGGGUUUAGAACGUCGUGAGACAGUUCGGUCCCUAUCUGCCGUGGGCGCUGGAGAAUUGAGGGGGGCUGCUCCUAGUACGAGAGGACCGGAGUGGACGCAUCACUGGUGUUCGGGUUGUCAUGCCAAUGGCACUGCCCGGUAGCUAAAUGCGGAAGAGAUAAGUGCUGAAAGCAUCUAAGCACGAAACUUGCCCCGAGAUGAGUUCUCCCUGAGACUUUAAGUCUCCUGAAGGAACGUUNGACGUUGAUAGGCCGGGUGUGUAAGCGCAGCGAUGCGUUGAGCUAACCGGUACUAAUGAACCGUGAGGCUUAACCUU